rnacentral:rRNA from 1 species
CCUACGGGAGGCAGCAGUGAGGAAUAUUGAUCAAUGGACGAGAGUCUGAACCAGCCAAGUAGCGUGAAGGAUGACUGCCCUAUGGGUUGUAAACUUCUUUUAUAUGGGAAUAAAAUGUUCCACGUGUGGGAUUUUGUAUGUACCAUAUGAAUAAGGAUCGGCUAACUCCGUGCCAGCAGCCGCGGUAAUACGGAGGAUCCGAGCGUUAUCCGGAUUUAUUGGGUUUAAAGGGAGCGUAGGUGGAUUGUUAAGUCAGUUGUGAAAGUUUGCGGCUCAACCGUAAAAUUGCAGUUGAAACUGGCAGUCUUGAGUACAGUAGAGGUGGGCGGAAUUCGUGGUGUAGCGGUGAAAUGCUUAGAUAUCACGAAGAACUCCGAUUGCGAAGGCAGUUCACUGGACUGCAACUGACACUGAGGCUCGAAAGUGUGGGUAUCAAACAGGAUUAGAUACCCCUGUAGUC